GGCGUACACGGAUAGAACGGACUAGCGACAAGGCUUAACACAACUGCAAGUCGAGGGGCGUAGCGGGGAGUCGAAGCUUGCUUCAUCCGCCGGCGACCGGCGGCACGGGUGAGUAACACGUAUGCAACCUGCCCUGGCUGGGGGAUAAGCCGGAGAAAUCCGGUCUAAUACCGCGUAACAUCCUUGCGGGACAUCCCGUUAGGAUCAAAGGAAGCGAUUCCGGCCAGGGAUGGGCAUGCGGCGCAUUAGCUAGUCGGCGGGGUAACGGCCCACCGAGGCGACGAUGCGUAGGGGUUCUGAGAGGAAGGUCCCCCACACUGGUACUGAGACACGGACCAGACUCCUACGGGAGGCAGCAGUGAGGAAUAUUGGUCAAUGGGCACGAGCCUGAACCAGCCAAGUCGCGUGAGGGAAGACGGUCCUAUGGAUUGUAAACCUCUUUUGCCGGGGAGCAAGCUGUGUCACGUGUGACACAGCUGAGAGUACCCGGAGAAAAAAGCAUCGGCUAACUCCGUG
rnacentral:rRNA from 1 species